GUGGAGCCUGCGGCUUAAUUUGACCCAACACGGGAAAACUUACCAGGUCAGGACAUGUGAAGGAUUGACAGUCUGAGAGCACUUUCAUGAUUACAUGGGUGGUGGUGCAUGGCCGUUCUUAGUUGGUGGUGUGAAUUGUCUGGUUGAUUCCGUUAACGAACGAGACCUUCGCCUACUAAAUAGCUGCUGGAAGAUAUUGCGCUAAGGCCGGGGGGCCUACCUGAGGAAGGAUCCGUUCCCCUUGGGUGGUCGUUCUCCUGGUUGCUUUUCUUCCAGAAAAUGCUUCUUAGAGGGACUAUUUGUGACAAGCAAAUGGAAGUUGGAGGCAAAAACAGGUCUGUGAUGCCCUUCGAUGUUCUGGGCCGCACGCGCGCU
rnacentral:rRNA from 1 species